GACGAACGCUGGCGGCGUGCUUAACACAUGCAAGUCGAACGGAAAGGCCCUGCUUUUGUGGGGUGCUCGAGUGGCGAACGGGUGAGUAACACGUGAGUAACCUGCCCUUGACUUUGGGAUAACUUCAGGAAACUGGGGCUAAUACCGGAUAGGAGCUCCUGCUGCAUGGUGGGGGUUGGAAAGUUUCGGCGGUUGGGGAUGGACUCGCGGCUUAUCAGCUUGUUGGUGGGGUAGUGGCUUACCAAGGCUUUGACGGGUAGCCGGCCUGAGAGGGUGACCGGCCACAUUGGGACUGAGAUACGGCCCAGACUCCUACGGGAGGCAGCAGUGGGGAAUAUUGCACAAUGAGCGGAAGCCUGAUGCAGCAACGCCGCGUGCGGGAUGACGGCCUUCGGGUUGUAAACCGCUUUCGCCUGUGACGAAGCGUGAGUGACGAUAAUGGGUAAAGAAGCACCGGCUAACUACGUG
rnacentral:rRNA from 1 species